rnacentral:rRNA from 1 species
CCUUGAAAUACCACCCUUUAAUGUUUGAUGUUCUAACGUGGACCCGUGAUCCGGGUUGCGGACAGUGUCUGGUGGGUAGUUUGACUGGGGCGGUCUCCUCCUAAAGAGUAACGGAGGAGCACGAAGGUUGGCUAAUCCUGGUCGGACAUCAGGAGGUUAGUGCAAUGGCAUAAGCCAGCUUGACUGCGAGCGUGACGGCGCGAGCAGGUGCGAAAGCAGGUCAUAGUGAUCCGGUGGUUCUGAAUGGAAGGGCCAUCGCUCAACGGAUAAAAGGUACUCCGGGGAUAACAGGCUGAUACCGCCCAAGAGUUCAUAUCGACGGCGGUGUUUGGCACCUCGAUGUCGGCUCAUCACAUCCUGGGGCUGAAGUAGGUCCCAAGGGUAUGGCUGUUCGCCAUUUAAAGUGGUACGCGAGCUGGGUUUAGAACGUCGUGAGACAGUUCGGUCCCUAUCUGCCGUGGGCGCUGGAGAACUGAGGGGGGCUGCUCCUAGUACGAGAGGACCGGAGUGGACGCAUCACUGGUGUUCGGGUUGUCAUGCCAAUGGCACUGCCCGGUAGCUAAAUGCGGAAGAGAUAAGUGCUGAAAGCAUCUAAGCACGAAACUUGCCCCGAGAUGAGUUCUCCCUGAGACUUAAAGUCUCCUGAAGGAACGUUGAAGACGACGACGUUGAUA